ACGAACGCUGGCGGCAUGCCUAACACAUGCCAGUCGAACGAGACCUUUGGGUCUAGUGGCGCACGGGUGCGUAACGCGUGGGAAUCUGCCCUUGGGUUCGGAAUAACAGUGAGAAAUUGCUGCUAAUACCGGAUGAUGUCUUCGGACCAAAGAUUUAUCGCCCAGGGAUGAGCCCGCGUAGGAUUAGCUAGUUGGUGGGGUAAUGGCCUACCAAGGCGACGAUCCUUAGCUGGUCUGAGAGGAUGAUCAGCCACACUGGGACUGAGACACGGCCCAGACUCCUACGGGAGGCAGCAGUGGGGAAUAUUGGACAAUGGGCGCAAGCCUGAUCCAGCAAUGCCGCGUGAGUGAUGAAGGCCUUAGGGUUGUAAAGCUCUUUUACCAGGGACGAUAAUGACAGUACCUGGAGAAUAAGCUCCGGCUAACUCCGUG
rnacentral:rRNA from 1 species